UACGUAGGGUGCGAGCGUUGUCCGGAAUUAUUGGGCGUAAAGAGCUCGUAGGCGGCCUGUCGCGUCGGAUGUGAAAGCCCGGGGCCUAACCCCGGGUCUGCAUUCGAUACGGGCAGGCUAGAGUUCGGUAGGGGAGAUCGGAAUUCCUGGUGUAGCGGUGAAAUGCGCAGAUAUCAGGAGGAACACCGGUGGCGAAGGCGGAUCUCUGGGCCGAUACUGACGCUGAGGAGCGAAAGCGUGGGGAGCGAACAGG
rnacentral:rRNA from 1 species